rfam:Triticum aestivum genome assembly, contig: Triticum_aestivum_CS42_TGACv1_scaffold_062397_1DL
UUAAUACUCCCUCCGUCCCAAAAUUCUUGUCUUAGAUUCGUCUAGAUAUGAAUGUAUCUAAUAUUAAAAACGUGACUUGAUACAUCCGUAUUUAGACAAAUCUAAGACAAGAAUUAUGGGACGGAGGGAGUACAUU